GUCCACACAGUAAACGAUGAAUACUCGCUGUUUGCAAUAUACCGCAAGCGGCCAAGCGAAAGCAUUAAGUAUUCCACCUGGGGAGUACGCCGGCAACGGUGAAACUCAAAGGAAUUGACGGGGGCCCGCACAAGCGGAGGAACAUGUGGUUUAAUUUCGAUGAUACGCGAGGAACCUUACCCGGGCGUUAAAUUGCAACUGAAUAUAGUGGAAACACUAUAGCCGCAAGGCAGUUGUGAAGGUGCUGCAUGGUUGUCGU
rnacentral:rRNA from 1 species